rnacentral:lncRNA from 1 species
CAUGCGACUGUAUUUAUGUUGCUUAUGUUUUCAUAACUAUUUACGUUACUUUUGUGGGAGUACCUAUGCUUUAUUAUUUGAUUUUGUCUUGCUUGUGUUACUAAUUUUAUCUCUGUUUCUUAAUGCAGCUUUUCCAUUGUUACUCUACUCGCCGAGGGUCGAUUGGAAGCAGCCUCUCUGCCCUUUCGGGCAGGGGUAAGGCUCGUCUACAUAUUACCCUCCCCAGACCCCACCUGGUGGAAGUAUA